AUGACGAACAUGAGGAUAACCUUCCAAAGAAUAUGAAGGUUAUUACAUUUAGAACCAAAGAAGACCACUUGACCAAGAGCUCAAGUGAAGAUGAUAUAGACCUCCUCACAAAAAAAUUUAAAAAGUUCAUGAAAAAGAACAAGACUAAAUUAAAACAAGAAUCUAAAAAUGAACUCAAAAAGGACACAACCACUUGUUA
rnacentral:lncRNA from 1 species